rnacentral:lncRNA from 1 species
ACAAUAGUAUCGAUAGUACUAAGUUUUUCGCCGGUUGAUCUAUCCAUUUAAUUAUUUUUAUCCGUUAAAUCAUAUUAUUCAACCAACCACCGAUUCAACCUUAGGGAUCACUAUCAUCCUAACCACACAUCUGUCCAUCUAAAUGGUCCAAAUUUCAGGCAAGUUUCGUAACAAUUUUACCUUUUUUUUGUAAAGAUAUAUAAAAUAUAUAUGAAC